rnacentral:rRNA from 1 species
AAUUUACGGAGAGUUUGAUCCUGGCUCAGGACGAACGCUGGCGGCGUGCUUAAUACAUGCAAGUCGAGCGAAUG